rnacentral:rRNA from 1 species
UACGUAGGGGGCAAGCGUUGUCCGGAUUUAUUGGGCGUAAAGAGCGUGUAGGCGGCCAGGUAGGUCAGCUGUGAAAACUCGAGGCUCAACCUCGAGACGCCGGUUGAAACCAUCUGGCUAGAGUCCGGAAGAGGAGAGUGGAAUUCCUGGUGUAGCGGUGGAAUGCGCAGAUAUCAGGAGGAACACCAAUAGCGAAGGCAGCUCGCUGGGACGGUACUGACGCUAAGGCGCGAAAGCGUGGGGAGCGAACAGG